CCUACGGGGGGCAGCAGUAAGGAAUAUUGCGCAAUGGGCGAAAGCCUGACGCAGCAACGCCGCGUGCGGGAUGAAGGCCCUCGGGUUGUAAACCGCUUUCAGUAGGGAAGAAGAUGACGGUACCUACAGAAGAAGCCCCGGCCAACUACGUGCCAGCAGCCGCGGUAACACGUAGGGGGCGAGCGUUGUCCGGAUUCAUUGGGCGUAAAGAGCUCGUAGGCGGUUUCGUAAGUCGGAUGUGAAAACUCCAGGCUCAACUUGGAGACGCCAUUCGAUACUGCGAUGACUAGAGUCCGGUAGGGGAGUGUGGAAUUCCUGGUGUAGCGGUGAAAUGCGCAGAUAUCAGGAGGAACACCGGCGGCGAAGGCGGCACUCUGGGCCGGUACUGACGCUGAGGAGCGAAAGCGUGGGUAGCAAACAGGAUUAGAUACCCUGGUAGUC
rnacentral:rRNA from 1 species